CCUGGUGUCUAUGGUACGGUGGACCCACCCUGACCCAUCCCGAACUCAGGUGUGAAACGCUGAAACGGCGACGAUAGUUGGAGGGUUGCUUCCUGCAACAAUAGCUCGAUGCCAGGG
rnacentral:rRNA from 2 species